rnacentral:lncRNA from 1 species
AAAAAGAAUAGGAUUACUUUGUUAUCCUAUAACUUUUGGUAAGUAUUUAAUAGACUAAACUUUGUGUAUAUUGAGUAGGGACUGCUGUUUGAUUACUUGAUAAUUUCUUGGUUGACUGAGUUGAUAUUAGUUAUGUUUUUGGCUUGUUAUAAAGUGAAUUGAUUGUGAUGUGUUGUGAAGUGAAAUGAUUGUGAUUAAGGAUUGAUGACUUUUGUAUGGAUAUUGUGUGAUCAGGAAAGCUGAGCCGGGCGGAUAGUCUUGUCAAGUGGUUACUGAAAUUUAAAAAUAUGAGGAAAUAUAAGGAUGAGUCAUCUGAUCCUAAUUUGAUAGAAAUAAUGUGGAAUUGAAUUAUUUGACUUGGUUGAGUUUGAGAUUAUUUGCAUUACGUGAGAUGAAAUUAUAUGUUUAUGAGAAUAACUGAAAUGGUUGAUUUUGUAAUUGUUAGUUAAGUGUUGGUAUAAUUUUAUAUAUUGAUAAAGAUUUGAUAAUUCUAGCCUAAUGUACUAUAGUUUAGUAAAUUAAAUGCUUAUUGAGUCGCUAGCUCAUUCCUUAGCAAAUUUUUUUUUUCAGGUUAGUGCAGUUGUAGAUAGCCUUAGCUGUGCAUUGCUCUCUUUGCAUCAGUCAAUAUUAUCAGGUGGGCCAGAGGAGUUAUCUAAAGCAUUGGGGCAUUUUAGGAACUUGUGUGAAUUAAACUACUGUAUAAAUAUUUCUUAUAUAUAUUAAGUAUGUCAUGCC